UGUUUUGUGAUUAUGCCAUACUUUAAGCCUAUUUCCUGACACGUUAUAAAGGCUGAAAGUAUGGCAUAAACAUUUUUUUUGAAUUACUUACCUGCAACGUUGCUUUUCUGGACCCAACUAUUUCCUCCUUCAGUUCUGCAUCAAUUCUGGAAAGAUGCUGCCAAGCAAGAGGGGUGCUGAUGAUCUCACAAGAUUCUCAACAAAGUCAUCUAUUUCAGGUUUCUGGAGCGAGCUGAGUGACAAAGCUGCAUCAAAGUUGUCCACAAGUGUUGUCUCAAUUGCUUUGACCCAUGGUGAUCUUGUAGGACAAAAUGUGAUAUAUGCAUCCUCUGGCAUAGCUAUUGAAUGCCAGCCUAACUUCACAAAGUUUGCAACAUCAGCAAUUUUGGUUAGAGCUUUAAAUGCUGAAAGAAAUGGCCAUGACAACAUUAAGAUUGAAGUAUGCCAUAAAGGAAAUGUUGCCAUAGGGACUGUGGUAGAAUAUGACCUGGAUCAUGUAAUUGCUGUUGUCGAAGUCACGUCCGCCCUUGACGUUUAUUGUGUACCUCUUAGUCAUGCGGAGGAAUUGAUGCCUGAUAUAAAGGUUGUAGCAGUAGGGCGUGACAUCUCUGGCAAAUUAAUGGCCACAAGUGGGACACUUACUGAUUCAGGCCGAUCUGAAGAUCGUGGACAUCUUAUGUUCUCUACAUGUAAAUUAUCUGAGGCUAUGCAGGGCGGCGCACUUUUUGAAUUUGAUGGGAACUUUGUUGGCAUGAACCUUUUCUCUAAUAUGGGAAGACCCCUAUUCUUGCCAAGGGAUAUAAUUUUUGAUCGUUUGAACCAUUUUCAGACAUCCAUGGAAAAGAUAAUAUUUCCUGUGUUGCUGAAGUCAGUCAGGCAUAGAAAAAGACUCAGGUGUGGAACUUCACUCAUAUCCUGAAGGUAGCACGAGUGUUAAUACUUUUGGAGAACAGUUUGGUGACGAAUAUCCUACUGGUGUCUGGGGUAAAUUCAAGAAAGAAGUUUCUUCUAACAUAUCUGACAUUGUUGUCGCACUUGCUUCGUUCCAUGGUGAAUCAAAGUUCUUUGCAUGCACAGAAUUUUUCAUUAACUAUGAUGGAUGUCCGACUAUUCUGAUCCCGAUGACGCAAAUGAGAUUGUGAACGGCUUAAGGGCUGUUAUUGGAGGUCCCGCUGUUGAUUUGGAUGGAAAAUUUGUGGGCAUCAAUUACUAUAAUACAAAAAUAGGAACCCCGCUCCUGUUAUUUAUUGAUAUCUGUGAAAUUUUGGAUGAUUUGAAGACAAAAAUGGCGAUGAUUGGUGGUCAUGAGGGCCGUUUGGAAAAUGACAACGGACCACCAAACAUCUGGCUAUGGCGGUAUGGCCUGCCUGAUCCAAGGUGAUAUGGAUGAAGAUGAAGAUGAAGAUUAACGUGCAGCCCAACAGAUGCGCAACAGAGAGGAUGAGGUCCGAACUCUGGUUCGUGCAGGUCUGCAAAUUAUUAGAAAUAGCUGAUAGGCAGAGGAGGCAUUUUUCAAAUUACCCCACCACCGGCUGAAUAGUUUUGAAGUGAUAAAAAUUUCUGGUUCUCAAGUAUAUAGCGAGGAAGGAUUUGUCUUGAGCCAGAAACUAUUACUAAAUAAGAUGGAAGAAUUUCAGAACAUA